CUCGUAAUGCGACUUACUAGUAGUAACCAGUGAUAAGUAGCUGGGUGAUAGUAGUAAACGGUCCCAAGUCCGAAAACGCAGAGGGCGAA
rnacentral:ribozyme from 2 species